GGGAGGAGAGGUCAGGUGGACUGUCAGAGGAAAGCAUGUAGGAUACAGUCCCUGGAGGUCCAGGAUUUGGGGGCCUCCGAGGUUCUUGACAGCUGUGACCCUUUGGGCUGGGAUGAUCCUGACAGAACAUCAGGUUCCCCAGCUCUGUCCCCUCUACAGUCUCUCCAGAAGAAGGGUCUGGGGGAAUCCGCCUUGCCCUGACUUCCCAUAAUAUUCAAACCAGAGUUCUUCGCAGUUCCUGGAGAGACCUACUCCCCCUACCCCAGAACAUGGGGCUCAAGAUACUUUAUGGAAACAAGUCCCAUCGCUCUAGACCGCCUGCGGGAAUCUUCCUCUGGGGAGACACAGCUCUGGCCUUGGAAUCUGUCACAGCUGGGUCUGAGCGUUGGCACUGCUGAUGUCUGGCGAUGGUGGCUGACACGGAGUCACUUUGUCCGCGGAGCUUUCAGUUUUCUGUACUGUCCAAUGGGGAGAAGAAGAGCAGCCUGGUGGGGAUACAAGGAUCCAGCAGCCCUCUGGAGGUGUCCACUGUGUAUCCGUGACAUCAGAUUGCUUUGGGGAACAAGAGGGAAGCCUCACGUGCAAGAGCCACCUCCUUCCUGCCAGGAGACUCAGCUGACUGACUUCCACUUUUGGAAGGUUGUCCACCCACUUGAGGAAGAGACCAACAAUGUGCUUUCCAGGAUGAAGCGAGCAUGAGAGGAGGCGCUUGGAAAAUCUGACUUAACUAAGAAGGGAUAGGGAAUCCUUGAUAGAAGACCUGCAAGUAUCAAAGACCCAGAUCUAGACCCAGCUGCUCGCAUCCGGGCCUCUGUAGAUUCAGGACGGCGGACAGAACCUCGCGGGCCUGGGUCUCCUUUCCUCUCGCAACAGCACCGCAGAGAGCGCCCUUCAGCACCGCGGACAGCAAUCCUGCUGGGGUCAGAGCUUCCACCCAGCCUCUGCCUGGAAAUGGCUCUUUGGGGCAGUUGGGAUGCAGGCCCGCGAGCGGCUGAAUAGAUCAAUUAUUUUUCAGAACAUGAUUUUGAUCCCGAUGUUACUUCUCAGGAUCACUGAGUGGAAAGGGCUCGCGGAGAAAAUGGCAUUUUUUAUCACCCUGGCAAAAUGCUCCCGCACUGAUGAGAUGAGGCGCCCGGCGAGUGCGCGCGCGCACUUGUGAUACAUAACUAACCAGAAGCAUAAUCUUCUAAAUUGAAAGCCAUAAUGUUUGCUGUUGGAGCUAAAUAUUAACAGGGCGUUGUCUCCCCCAACGACCCUCGGGAGACAGCUGGCUUAGCGGGAGGCUGCCGUCAUAUUCAAGCAACUUGAUUAAAUUCCUUUCUGCCAUCAGAAUUAAGAAAUGAAUAGUUUUAUGAGAGUCAUGCCACAGAGGACAGGAAAAUGAAAUGUUCAGGAAAGAGAGCAGGAGGGUUGCCUGCUCUGUGUUCCUGUAGGGAGUGCUGUCAAUCUACCUAGAAGGGGUGGGCUCAGUAUUGUGUAUGAUAGGCAGUCUUGACUCCUCUCUGGUCAUAAAACACACUGUGGAGCCUCCUUAGGAGAUCUCUCAGUUGUUCAUGGGAGAGGCAGCAAAUUGUGUGGCUGACUUCAUGAUCUCCGGAUCUAGAACCACUGUAUUCAAAUCCCAUUGUUAUUCCCAAGUUGCUGUGUGAUCUUAGGCAAAUUAUCUAACCUUUCUGUGGCAAAGCUUUUCUAGUUGUAAUAAAAUGAAUUUAUCUCAGUAC
rnacentral:lncRNA from 1 species